rnacentral:rRNA from 1 species
AACGAACGCUGGCGGCGCGCCUAAUACAUGCAAGUCGAGCGAGAAGACGUAGCAAUACGUUUGUAAAGCGGCGAACGGGUGAGGAAUACAUGGGUAACCUACCCUCGAGUGGGGAAUAACUAGCCGAAAGGUUAGCUAAUACCGCGUACGCUCCUUGGACUUCGGUUCAGGGAGGGAAAGCGAUACCGUGGGUAGUCGCGCUCUUGGAUGGGCUCAUGUCCUAUCAGCUUGUUGGUGAGGUAACGGCUCACCAAGGCUUCGACGGGUAGCUGGUCUGAGAGGACGAUCAGCCACACUGGCACUGCGACACGGGCCAGACUCCUACGGGAGGCAGCAGUAAGGAAUAUUGCGCAAUGGGCGAAAGCCUGACGCAGCGACGCCGCGUGGGGGAG